rnacentral:misc_RNA from 1 species
UGGCUCUGGCAUNGAUGAAGAACGCAGCGAAAUGCGAUAAGUAAUGUGAAUUGCAGAAUUUAGUGAAUCAUCGAAUCUUUGAACGCACAUUGCGCCCCUUGGUAUUCCGAGGGGCAUGCCUGUCCGAGCGUCAUUACAACCCCUCCAGCUUGCUGGGUCUUGGGCUUCGCCUCUGGGCGGGCCCUAAAAUCAAUGGCGGCCCCGUCGGGCUCUAAGCGCAGUAACUCUUCUCGCUAUAGGGUCCCGGCGGUGCUGGCCAGUAACCCCCAACUUUCAAUGGUUGACCUCGGAUCAGGUAGGGAUACCCGCUGA